rfam:Punica granatum cultivar Dabenzi scaffold90, whole genome shotgun sequence.
AGCCUGUGAUGCGAGAAAUUGUCCGUACCAUCUGAGAGUAUUCUCUGAUCGAUACAAAAUUAUCAUCUCUAGCUUUCUGAGGCCU